rnacentral:rRNA from 1 species
AGUACCCCGAGGAAAAGAAAUCAACCGAGAUUCCCCCAGUAGCGGCGAGCGAACGGGGAGCAGCCCAGAGCCUGAAUCAGUGUGUGUGUUAGUGGAAGCGUCUGGAAAGGCGCGCGAUACAGGGUGACAGCCCCGUACACAAAAAUGCACAUACUGUGAGCUCGAUGAGUAGGGCGGGACACGUGGUAUCCUGUCUGAAUAUGGGGGGACCAUCCUCCAAGGCUAAAUACUCCUGACUGACCGAUAGUGAACCAGUACCGUGAGGGAAAGGCGAAAAGAACCCCGGCGAGGGGAGUGAAAAAGAACCUGAAACCGUGUACGUACAAGCAGUGGGAGCACGCUUAGGCGUGUGACUGCGUACCUUUUGUAUAAUGGGUCAGCGACUUAUAUUCUGUAGCAAGGUUAACCGAAUAGGGGAGCCGAAGGGAAACCGAGUCUUAACUGGGCGUUAAGUUGCAGGGUAUAGACCCGAAACCCGGUGAUCUAGCCAUGGGCAGGUUGAAGGUUGGGUAACACUAACUGGAGGACCGAACCGACUAAUGUUGAAAAAUUAGCGGAUGACUUGUGGCUGGGGGUGAAAGGCCAAUCAAACCGGGAGAUAGCUGGUUCUCCCCGAAAGCUAUUUAGGUAGCGCCUCGUGAAUUCAUCUCCGGGGGUAGAGCACUGUUUCGGCAAGGGGGUCAUCCCGACUUACCAACCCGAUGCAAACUGCGAAUACCGGAGAAUGUUAUCACGGGAGACACACGGCGGGUGCUAACGUCCGUCGUGAAGAGGGAAACAACCCAGACCGCCAGCUAAGGUCCCAAAGUCAUGGUUAAGUGGGAAACGAUGUGGGAAGGCCCAGACAGCCAGGAUGUUGGCUUAGAAGCAGCCAUCAUUUAAAGAAAGCGUAAUAGCUCACUGGUCGAGUCGGCCUGCGCGGAAGAUGUAACGGGGCUAAACCAUG